rnacentral:lncRNA from 1 species
UAUGAAUGUGUUGGACCCUCUGCUUGUGUGUGUAAAGGAUGAAAACCAUGGAGCCACUGGCCCAGGACAUGAGCCCCAAACACAAAACAUCAGGGAUGGAUGUGACAGUUGCACAUAGGAAGUCUGUACCUUUGUCAUGAAGUGUAGCUGAACAGUACUUAAAGUCUAUAGUUGUGAUGUUUUCAUUACUCCAUUUUUUAAUCACAUACAUAGGUACUAUGAUAUUUACCAACAUGUGCAGAAUCCAGCACAAAAUGGUGGAGGGGCCAAUGUACUUCAGGGCUUUUGCUUUCAUCUCUGCCCACCUGGAACUCCUGGGACUGAUGGUGAUGGCCUGGAAGAUACUCAAGAGGCAGGUAGUGCCAAUGGAUACACCCCUGACCACUCUGUGCAUAUAGAAAACAACUUUGCAUCCAAAGUCAUUGAGAAAAUAUCUCAA